UAGUACAGGCUUGAGGUUUUGGCAAGAGUGAAGAGAGCAGGAGAGUGUUGUGGUGGAGCGGGAGGAUGGAGAUGGAUGUGGAGGGGAGACAGGACAAAGAAGAGGAGGAGUGGACAGUCAGCCUAAAGAGUCAUAAACAGAAUUGAGCUGGAGCCGAUGCGAUCCCUGUGUCCGCCCUCAUGGGUGGAGUUCCUGGUGUUUCACCUGCGUUGGAUCCACGGCUAAUCAGCAGAAGGGACCAAUGUUGUCCUCCACUCUCCACCAGUUCAUAGAUGUUCCUGGUCACGACUUCCAAAACCCAUCCACUGCCACAGUUUCUGUCAAGCACUGGUUCUACCUGCAACACUCAGCAGUGACUCUACUUGGAAAACUCAACUGCUCACUUCACUAACUUUCCUGCCCUCCUGCCCGCCCGUGCACUUCUAGGACAUCCUCUGGAAUUUCAUGACAGACCACUGUGAUCCUUCGUGCUCCUCUCCCAAACACUCCUUUGCUUGAAAUUCUUUCAAAUGUAUAAAUAAAACAGCUCAGCUGGAUCCUGUUUCCACUGAUCAUCUGUCACACAUCUCUACAGUUUGACUGGAGGUAAAAUCAGUUGACUGGAUAUGAUUUGGAAAGACCUGUAGGUCUCAUAGUUAGGAGUGUAUGUCAGAGCACAAACCAAGCCAUGAAUUCUAAAGAAAUGUCAGACCUAAGAUGCAGGAGGGGUACAGAACAGGUACCUUCAUCAUCUGUAAAUGGUAGAAGCACCAGGAUUGUUUCUAGAGCUGGUUGCCCAGCCAAUCUGAGCAAUUGGGGUAGAAGAGCCCUAAUCAGUAGGUGAUCAAAAACCCAAGUGUUCACUCUCACAGGGCUCUUUGGAGUUGGGAGAAUCUUCCAGAAGGACAGCCAUUUCUGCAGCACUCCACCAAUCAGCAUUGUAUGGUAGAGUGGCCAAAUGGAAAUCACUGUU